rnacentral:rRNA from 1 species
AUAUCAGUCAUGCAUAGCAUAUCAAUAAGCGGAGGAAAAGAAACUAACAAGGAUUCCCCUAGUAACUGCGAGUGAAGCGGGAAGAGCUCAAAUUUGAAAUCUUAAAAGGUUUUCCUUUUACGAAUUGUAGUUUAAAGAAGUGUUUUCUGUUGAAAAUUUUAGUAAAAGUUCUUUGGAAUAGGACAUCAUAGAGGGUGAGUAUCCCGUAUUUGACUAGAAUUUUUCAACUUUGUGAUACACUUUCAAAGAGUCGGAUUGUUUGGGAAUGCAGUCCAAAAUGGGUGGUAAAUUUCAUCUAAAGCUAAAUAUUGGCGAGAGACCGAUAGCGAACAUGUACCGUGAGGGAAAGAUGAAAAGAACUUUGAAAAGAGAGUUAAAUAGUACGUGAAAUUGUCAAAAGGGAAGCGUUUGGCACCAGUGUUGUUUUUCUAAAAAUCAAUUUAAAAUUUAGCUUAUGUUAAGUAUUUUUAGACUUUAAUCAGGCUAAUAUAUUUAGUUUUUUGUAAUUUUUGAAUGCACUUUUUAGUUAACAAGUCAACAUCAAUUUCUUUCGUUGUAAAAGAAUAAGAGGAAGGUGGCUUGGAUUUAGUUUCAAGUGUUUAUAGCCUUUUAUUUAUGCAAUAGGAGGGAUUGAGGUCUGCAGCAUAGAUCCUUCGGGGCUAGAUGCAUUUGUCGCUAAGAAGUCCAGUAUUAUAUAAACAACUUGUUGAUUAUAGUAGUAUGUUGAUUUCUACUCGGCAGAUGUUAUUUUACCUACGCUUAGGAUGUUGAUCUACAGAGCGAGAGU